rnacentral:piRNA from 1 species
UAUCGACAAAAUUUGCCUGGGGCUUC